CCACCGGAGCUUGCUCCACCGGAAAAAGAGGAGUGGCGAACGGGUGAGUAACACGUGGGUAACCUGCCCAUCAGAAGGGGAUAACACUUGGAAACAGGUGCUAAUACCGUAUAACAAUCGAAACCGCAUGGUUUUGAUUUGAAAGGCGCUUUCGGGUGUCGCUGAUGGAUGGACCCGCGGUGCAUUAGCUAGUUGGUGAGGUAACGGCUCACCAAGGCCACGAUGCAUAGCCGACCUGAGAGGGUGAUCGGCCACAUUGGGACUGAGACACGGCCCAAACUCCUACGGGAGGCAGCAGUAGGGAAUCUUCGGCAAUGGACGAAAGUCUGACCGAGCAACGCCGCGUGAGUGAAGAAGGUUUUCGGAUCGUAAAACUCUGUUGUUAGAGAAGAACAAGGAUGAGAGUAACUGUUCAUCCCUUGACGGUAUCUAACCAGAAAGCCACGGCUAACUACGUGCCAGCAGCCGCGGUAAUACGUAGGUGGCAAGCGUUGUCCGGAUUUAUUGGGCGUAAAGCGAGCGCAGGCGGUUUCUUAAGUCUGAUGUGAAAGCCCCCGGCUCAACCGGGGAGGGUCAUUGGAAACUGGGAGACUUGAGUGCAGAAGAGGAGAGUGGAAUUCCAUGUGUAGCGGUGAAAUGCGUAGAUAUAUGGAGGAACACCAGUGGCGAAGGCGGCUCUCUGGUCUGUAACUGACGCUGAGGCUCGAAAGCGUGGGGAGCAAACAGGAUUAGAUACCCUGGUAGUCCACGCCGUAAACGAUGAGUGCUAAGUGUUGGAGGGUUUCCGCCCUUCAGUGCUGCAGCUAACGCAUUAAGCACUCCGCCUGGGGAGUACGACCGCAAGGUUGAAACUCAAAGGAAUUGACGGGGGCCCGCACAAGCGGUGGAGCAUGUGGUUUAAUUCGAAGCAACGCGAAGAACCUUACCAGGUCUUGACAUCCUUUGACCACUCUAGAGAUAGAGCUUCCCCUUCGGGGGCAAAGUGACAGGUGGUGCAUGGUUGUCGUCAGCUCGUGUCGUGAGAUGUU
rnacentral:rRNA from 1 species